rnacentral:rRNA from 1 species
GAGUUUGAUCAUGGCUCAGAUUGAACGCUGGCGGCAUGCCUUACACAUGCAAGUCGAACGGCAGCAUGAUCUAGCUUGCUAGAUUGAUGGCGAGUGGGCGAACGGGUGAGUAAUACAUCGGAACGUGCCCUGUAGUGGGGGAUAACUAGUCGAAAGAUUAGCUAAUACCGCAUACGACCUGAGGGUGAAAGUGGGGGACCGCAAGGCCUCAUGCUAUAGGAGCGGCCGAUGUCUGAUUAGCUAGUUGGUGGGGUAAAGGCCCACCAAGGCGACGAUCAGUAGCUGGUCUGAGAGGACGAUCAGCCACACUGGGGACUGAGACACGGCCCAGACUCCUACGGGAGGCAGCAGUGGGGAAUUUUGGACAAUGGGCGAAAGCCUGAUCCAGCAAUGCCGCGUGUGUGAAGAAGG